rnacentral:lncRNA from 1 species
GGGGAAGAGAACUGGAGUUUGAGUGCACAAAAAAGGCCAUAUAGGGGCCCAGGGAGAAGGCAGCUAUCUACAACUCAAGACCUCAUCAGACACUAACUCUUCUGGCACUGUUAUCUUAGACUUCUGACUUUCAGAAGUGUGAAAAGAUAAAUUUCUGUCGUUUAGGUUACCAAGUUUGUGGCAUUUUGUGAUGGCAGCCUGAGGAGACUAUUAGGUAGACAUUUUGAUGGAUAAAGGCGAAGAUUUUAACUCUGUCAAUAUGGUACUCUAUGACAUGGCCACAACCCACUCUCUCUGCCUACAGUCGCCCUGUAGGUUGCACAACAUGAAUCUGAAAUCACUCUACCCCAAAACAACAAUAACAACGACAACAACAACAACAACAGUCUUUGUUUAAGCUGGAGUAGCAGUGGAAAAGUUCACUCUAUUCUUGGGAAGACAUAAAACUUCACUUGCUAUGCUCCAUAAAGUAUCCAGAAUAAUUCUAUGCAUAGCCAUUAAAGAACUCUAUAAAAGGCACUGAAUGUUGAGACCACUCAAGCAAUCUGAUUGCUUAAUUAAAUGUCUAGAAAUGCUCAAUAUGUGCCAAUUGAAACUGUAUCACCCAUAAAAAACAGCGACAUGCUUUCUCUUUUUCUUUUAAUUUUUGGUUUAUAAUAGCAAUAACAACGUUGGCUGUGGGCAUUUCCUGGAGAUUAAUGACUGGCUAGGUUUAUCGCCCGGACUGCUUCUCCUGUGGACAAUCAACUCCUCCCUACUUGUCGUUCAUCCAUUGAAAAGCACCACAUGGCUCCCUCUGGUUUGCUAAGGAAUGUCAGUAUUUGUCAAAGCUGGUGGGGAUUGGUUUGUGAAUAGUGAUUUGUGGAUUCUUGGAAACUCUGUGGCAAUAUUGACAUCUGCGAAGAAGACAGGUUCCUGACUAACCUCAGAGGUGGCCUUUGAUACACUCAGUGUAUACACGAGAGCUUGCUUUCCUCCACUGAACAUUUCAGUGUGAUGGUUUAAAGGGGCUUACAAUGAAUUUUUCUGCUGUCGAAGCUUUGUUCUUUUGUCUUCUGCUAUGUGAUUUUCUUAAACCCAUGUAUGGACAUAAAAUGCUUUGAAAUCACAGAAAAAAAGCCUCUUUUGAAGUCAAAGAUGUUGAUGGCUGCAUGUAAGGAAAUGGUUCUGAAUACGUAUAGCACAAUACAAGCAAGUUAAGUUUCCUUCACCCCAUCUCGGCGAGGCUAAGACUGCUGGAAAAUCUACAACUGGUUGCAAUUUUAAUUGUGAUUCUUUGCUUCUUAAUUGUCAAAAGAGAGACUUAAUUUAAAACAUGAACACGCUCUCUCCAGUUCCAGAAUGUCAACGCAGCAAAUCUUUAGCUACUCCUUCCCAUUUGUCAACAGCAAUGUCACAGUGUUGUAAGCCUGUGUUGUAAGUAUGGCCUUGAGUUUUGUCCACUAUAAUAAUGAUAUUAGCACCAAACAUUUGAAUAGUGCUUUAGAACUUACAGAAUGCUUUCUAGGGACACAUGAUCAAUCUUGUUUUCCAGAUGAGGAAACUGUUCUGAGAGAUAAAGUGACUUGCCCACGAUCAUAUAUUCCAUAAGUAGAGGAGGUAUUCCACAUUUUCUGAUUCUAAAUUCAGUCUUUUCUCAGAUCUUCCUAUUUCCUGUCUUCCAAAGAGAGCUUAUCAUACACUUUUUUAAAUCCCUUAAAUAAUUUCUUUUUUUCUAUGUGAGAGUUAGUGACGGGCCUUAAACAAUAACAGUUGCUACUGUUUAUUGUUAACUAUGGACACACAUUUCACAUAUAUUAUUUCAUUCUAUCUUCACAGUUCAGUGAGGCAGGAACUAUCACCAUAUUACAGGAGAGAAGACUGUGGUUCAACAAGGUCAAACAUUCUAGUGGACUCAGGCUCUGUAGAUGAGCCUCCAAAAUCCAUAAUCUUUUGGCUGUGC